CAAUAGCGUAUAUUAAAGUUGUUGCAGUUAUAAAGCUCGUAGCUGGGCAGCUGAUGAGUCGACAAAGGUGCUUCAGUGCACGAUUUGAUCGCAUCAUCAUAAUGUUGCGGAAUUAACGUCUGCAAUGCGUUACUUUGAGUAAAUUAGAGUGUUCCACGCAAGUACUCGCUAUGAAUACAUCAGCAUGGAAUGACAAUAUGUCAGACAAAUCAAUUGUCGGUUGUUGACUGUCUGAAAUGAUUGAUAGGAACAGGUGGUGGCAUUCGUAUUCAACAGUCAGAGGUGAAAUUCUUAGAUUUGUUGAAGACGAACUAAUGCGAAAGCAUUUGCCAAGAAUGUUUUCAUUAU
rnacentral:rRNA from 1 species